GACGAACGCUGGCGGCGUGCUUAACACAUGCAAGUCGAACGAAGUGGCGAACGGGUGAGUAACGCGUAAUCAACCUGCCCUUCAGAGGGGGACAACAGUUGGAAACGACGGCUAAUACCGCAUACUGAAGGAGGGGAUUGCGUCUGAUUAGCGAGCUGGAGGGGUAACGGCCCACCAAGGCGAUGAUCAGUAGCCGGUCUGUGAGGAUGAACCGCCACAAUGGGACUGGGACACGGCCCAGACUCCUACGGGAGGCAGCAGUGGGGAAUCUUCCGCAAGGGACGAAAGUCUGGCGGAGCAACGCCGCGGGAGUGAUGAAGGCCUUCGGGUUGUAAAGCUCUGUUAAGCGGGACGCGGUACCGGAAUAGAAAGCCACGGCUAACUACGUGCCAGCAGCCGCGGUAAUAC
rnacentral:rRNA from 1 species